rnacentral:rRNA from 2 species
CGCCCCGCAAGGGGAGCGGCAGACGGGUGAGUAACGCGUGGGAAUCUACCAUUUGCUACGGAACAACUCCGGGAAACUGGAGCUAAUACCGUAUGUGCCCUUCGGGGGAAAGAUUUAUCGGCAAAUGAUGAGCCCGCGUUGGAUUAGCUAGUUGGUGGGGUAAAGGCCUACCAAGGCGACGAUCCAUAGCUGGUCUGAGAGGAUGAUCAGCCACACUGGGACUGAGACACGGCCCAGACUCCUACGGGAGGCAGCAGUGGGGAAUAUUGGACAAUGGGCGCAAGCCUGAUCCAGCCAUGCCGCGUGAGUGAUGAAGGCCCUAGGGUUGUAAAGCUCUUUCACCGGUGAA